CUACGGGAUGCAGCAGUGAGGAAUAUUGCACAAUGGGGGGAACCCUGAUGCAGCAACGCCGCGUGGAGGAUGACGCAUUUCGGUGUGUAAACUCCUUUUAUAUGUCAAGAAAAUGACGGUAGCAUAUGAAUAAGCACCGGCUAACUCCGUGCCAGCAGCCGCGGUAAUACGGAGGGUGCAAGCGUUACUCGGGAAUCACUGGGCGUAAAGGACGCGUAGGCGGGUUGGAAAGUCAGGUGUGAAAUCCUACAGCUUAACUGUAGAACUGCACUUGAAACUUCUAAUCUAGAGUAUGGGAGGGGGAGAUGGAAUUAGUGGUGUAGGGGUAAAAUCCGUAGAUAUCACUAGGAAUACCUAAAGCGAAGGCGAUCUCCUGGAACAUUACUGACGCUAAGGCGUGAAAGCGUGGGGAGCAAACAGGAUUAGAUACCCGCGUAGUC
rnacentral:rRNA from 1 species